GUCCACGCCCUAAACGAUGAUUACUCGACAUUAGCGAUAUUACAGUUAGUGUCUAAGCGAAAGCAUUAAGUAAUCCACCUGGGAAGUACGAUCGCAAGAUUGAAACUCAAAGGAAUUGGCGGGGGUCCGCACAAGUGGUGGAGCAUGUGGUUUAAUUCGAUGAUACGCGAGGAACCUUACCUGGGCUAGAAUGCAUUUUGACCGCAGGUGAAAGCCUGUUUUGUAGCAAUACACAAUUUGCAAGGUGCUGCAUGGCUGUCGU
rnacentral:rRNA from 1 species